AACAUCCUCGCUGCUAAGGAACCUCUACCCCAGUAACGAGUAUUUUGCAGCAUCUUCCAGGUUUUAUUCCAGGAUCCUCCCAUAUUGGGUCCAAUCCAUCCGCUCAUCAACUCUGACCAGUGUCCCCGUCCUUCCCCAGCAGAAGAAAAGAACGAUCCAUGAUGCUGCCACCACCAUGUUUCACCCUGGGAUAUCGUGCUCAGGUAGAUGUACAGUGUUCGUUUUGUACCGCAGAUACAGUUUUUUGUUCAGUGCUGAAAAGUUUACCUUUGGUCUCAUCUGACUGGUGCGCCUUCUUCCACCUGUCUGCUGAUUUUUAUUUACAAACAAGUUAGACAGCUAUGGAUUAUUUUCCUGUCACUUUAUAAUUAUACACAAUUUUAUGACGGUCAAUCAUAUCAAAUAACCAAUGAAAUUAUAUCCAUUUGUGGUUGUAAUGUAACAGAAAGCAGAAAAAAAAAUGAAGAGGUCUUAACACUGUAUAAAUUUACUGAUGUGUAAGAAGCAAUGUAAGCGAUUGUAAUAAUUUCAACUGAAACCAGAUGUUUACAUAGACUGUAUAAAAAGUGUCAGGACAUAAAAUCAGGGGAAACCUUUCCUGUUUAGGACCAGAGAGAUUAUUAUCUACUAAAGGUCAGAGUAAUGAGAAAAAUAAUUCAAGAGAUUUUCUCUUAUCCUGCUUUGGAUUCAGAGGUGUACAUUUGUUUCCUCAGUAUUUGGUAGAAAUGCAUUUUAAAUCGAAUGACUUUGAUCAAACAUUUUGGUCUCAAGCUCCUCACAACGGUCUCCUAGCAUUUUGACCCAUUCCUCCUGACAGAAUUAGUUGUAACCGGGUCCGUUUUACAGGCCGCUUGGCUCGCACACACCUUUUCACCUCUAUCCACAAAGUUCUCAUGCAGCUGAUAUCAAGGCUCUGUGAUGAUCACUGUUAAGUUAACUUAAGUUAAGCCACUGUGUAAAUUUGACUGUUUGAUCGAGGUGACUGUCCAUUUGGAGUUAGCAUUUGUGGCCCAAGCUUUAGCGCCCUCACAUGUUGCUUCGUACUUCAGAAUACUCCCAGUUUUUCUUCCAAAAGCAACAACGAUCAUUGUGGUCAAAUACUUUUAUUCAUGGUUAUGACCUUUAUUUAGUCAGUUAAGGCCUCCUUCAUCUUAAACAAAUGUGUCGAUUCUCAUGCUGACUUUGUUUUCUUUAGCCCACCUAAACAAUGCGGAUGUUUCCUCUCUUUUUUUUUUUCUAUGUUAAAAAUACAGGAGAGCGUGGGUUUCUGGGAAAAUCUUUUGAAAAUGGCAGAACGCAGAACUGCAUCAUGGAAGGCGGGACCUCGGCAAAUUGAAACACGUGAUUGGACGGGCAUGUCAGCAUGGGCGGGUUUACAGCUUAUGGGAAAAGCCUGGUUGGAUGAGCCUGGUCGUUUAUAAAUCCAUUAGCUGCUCAUGAUAGAUUUCAAUUUUCCUCUUACUGUCCUUGAAUUUCUAACAGUGUUUAAACAAUAAGACUAGGAUGGCAACAUGCUAUUCACAAUACAACAACACAAUACAGGAAAUGAUCAGUAAACUAAGUGGAUUAUUACAAUAUGAUUAUCGACAGCACAUAUGCCGGCACAUCGUUAUACACAUCAAAAUACAAAUUACACAUUUGUAGGACAUACUGAGUGCAAUCACAUGAUCGUCACAUGGAAAAUGAUCUGAUCAUUUGUGGUGCACUAGUGAGAAAUAUGUGAUCACAUGCUCCACAUGUGGAACACAUGAAAAAAAUGCUUCAUCGGAUGUGGAAAAUGUGACCCACGUGUGAACACAUGUGAAACCCGUGGGAUUAAAGAUCUCAUUUUCCAAGAGGGACCUGGGAAGAUGGCAGAAUGACCAAACAAAGGUCACAGUAAUAACAAAUAUAAAAAAAAAUAGAAUGAAUACUGAACUAAAACAUGAAAAAACAUUCUCAUUACAUUUCAGACAGAUAAUAUUUAUGUAUGAGUGUAUGUAGGAAUCUGGCUUGAACUGUGUAAAUAUUGUUUUCUCUCACCAAAUACAUUGAUUUUUCAUCGUAACAUUGUUUCCUUCCUGUGAACGCACAUUUUUUUUUUUAUUCGUGUGCAGUUUGCCGUGUUAAUCAUAGUUUUUUAUCAAUUAAAAGUUCUCUUAAAGUUUGGGUCUGUUUUAAAAAACUGAUGUUGCUCAGAUUGAACAAAUAAGUCUACAUGUGACCAGAGUGACCUAGCUUUACUGAAUACAAAUAUUUGUCCUGCUUUGAUACUGGUUGUUUUUUCCCCCAGUACAUCUGACAAUUCAUUCAAGCAAGCCUGACAUGCUUCUCAAGCUCUCCUGAAGACACAGUCGGCUUUCAACGCCAGCCACUGCAGUUCCUGUGCCCUCUGAACAUGCCCUCAUCCGGUAGCUGCAGUCCUCAAGGAGCGCACAGCUUCAGCAGUUUAGCAGACUGAACCCCUGCAGAAGCCAUCUCAGUGGAAGAGAGCAAAAAAAAAAAAAAAAACACCUGAUGUAGCACCUCGGUGUCUUUUGUAUUUGCCCGUUGAUUUAUUGUACUUUAGCAGCAGAGCAAAUCACGUCUGGAUGUCUGGGGACAGCAGAUGAAAGGUAAACUGUACACAGGAAGACUGUAAAUACUUCUCUAUUGCUAUGAUAAAUAAAUAAGAUAACAACAACAGCUCAUAUCUUUUUGUUUAAUACUUUCCUUGUGUUCACCUUUGCAUAAUAAUGAGGUGGAACACACAGUUUCAGGGAAGAUAAUCUGUAGACCAAUCGUUGUUAGAGGACGGGGGGUUUAGAGGCGUGUUGUGCCAGUCUUGUCCCACCAGAACCAAAACUGCAGCUCCAUUAUAAACAGAUGGCAUUUUUGUGUACGUCAGGCAUGCAUCAUCUCCCCGAUCACAUAAUCGACCCCCUACUACUCCACUCCCCCAAUCCUCCCCCGCUGUAUUGCUGACUCACUGUCCUAGCCCCUGAAUCUGCUGCCUGCCUGCAUUUCUCUGCCUCCGCUGCCGGUGCCUCUUCAGCACCCACAGCCUCAGACCAGAUGGGGCUGCCCCGGCCAUCCUGUGCUAUAUCUUUGACUAUGUUAGAUCGUAACAGCUGACUGCUCAGCGGGUGUAAAUGGUGUAAAAGUAUCAUCGUGUGUUUUUCUAUUUUACAAUUAAAAUCUGUCUAUUUUGGCCAUGUCAACAAAUUUAUUUGCAGUGAAGUCUCACCGCUGUAGUUUUAAAAGCCUUUGCAUUAAGGCUUUGAGACACUGGGUAACACAAUUAUGCCUCGAAACUAAUAUCCAGAUUUCCUUUUUAUCGUGAGAAGUCCAGUUCCACCACCAAGAAAGGCAGAAAGGUACCUCCACAUCAUGCUGGCUCCUCCUCCAUGCUUUGGUGUAUCAUUUUUAUGAUCCUAGGAGUUUUAAGUUUAGAAACAAAGUGACACACUAGCCUUUUCAGAGAGCCGGUCCUUGGUGGGUCUUACAGAAAUGGUGCCCUGCAUGGGCGAAAGUUUUGUUCUGUGCCAGAUGAGGGCCAGACGAUAAUUCAAUAA